GAAGUUAAACGGCCGCGGUAUACUGACCGUGCAAAGGUAGCAUAAUCACUUGUUCCUUAAUUAGGGACUAGCAUGAAUGGCUAAACGAGGGUUCAACUGUCUCUUAUUCCCAAUCAGUGAAAUUGACCUUCCAGUGAAGAGGCUGGAAUAACAAAAUAAGACGAGAAGACCCUAUGGAGCUUAAAUUAACUAGCUUAAUUACUAUAAUAUAACCUAAUGGAACAAAAAACAAAAAAAAUAAGCCAGUAAUUUCGGUUGGGGUGACCUCGGAGAAUAAAAAAUCCUCCGAAUGAUUUUAGCAUAGACCAACAAGUCAAAGCAAUACCACAAAUCUCAUUGACCCAAAUCUAUUUUGAUCAACGGACCAAGUUACCCUAGGGAUAACAGCGCAAUCCUAUUCAAGAGUUCAUAUCGACAAUUAGGGUUUACGACCUCGAUGUUGGAUCAGGACAUCCCAA
rnacentral:rRNA from 1 species